AUUGAACGCUGGCGGCAUGCCUUACACAUGCAAGUCGAACGGUAACAGGGAGCUUGCUCCGCUGACGAGUGGCGAACGGGUGAGUAAUGUAUCGGAACGUACCUUUUAGUGGGGGAUAACGUAGCGAAAGUUACGCUAAUACCGCAUAUUCUCUGAGGAGGAAAGCAGGGGACCUUCGGGCCUUGCGCUAAUAGAGCGGCUGAUCUCAGAUUAGCUAGUUGGUGAGGUACAGGCUCACCAAGGCGACGAUCUGUAGCGGGUCUGAGAGGAUGAUAGGCCACACUGGACAUGAGAGACGGUCCAGACUCCGACGGGAGGCAGCGGUGGGGAAUUUUGGACAAUGGGGGCAACCCUGAUCCAGCCAUGCCGCGUGAGUGAAGAAGGCCUUCGGGUUGUAAAGCUCUUUCGGCCGGGAAAAAAUCGCAUGGGUUAAUACCCUGUGUGGAUGAUGGUACCGGAAUAAGAAGCACCGGCUAACUACGUGCCAGCCGCCGCAGUAA
rnacentral:rRNA from 1 species